CUGCCUCAGCCCAAGAGAAGCAAAACACUUAAAUGUAUCCUAGGAAAACCUUUAUUUCCUAAGAAAAAAGACAGACUUAGCUGUCACCAUCAAUUCCAUCCCUUUUCCUGCCUUGUACAUUAUGCCUCCAGCAGUGGUGAUCUUCUUUCAAGCAUUGGGGAAAGGCCAAAAGAUUCACCAACACUGGUCUUGAUGUUAUUGACUCAAAAGUAGCAGCAACUUA
rnacentral:lncRNA from 1 species